AUGGAACACACAUCCCCAUCACAGCUCCCUCACAUAAUGAAGCUGAUUAUGUGAACAGGAAGUCCAUUCACAGUAUAAAUGUGCAGAUCAUAUGUGAUGCUGCAUACAUCAUUUCUAAUGUGGAGGCCAAGUGGUCUGGAUCUGUUCAUGACUGGAGGAUUUAUCAUGAAUCUAAUGUGAGCAACAGACUGCAACGUGGAGAGUUUGAUGGCCUUCUGCUGGGUGACAGGGGUUACCAUGCCAACCCAGGCUGAUGACCUCAUACCCUGACCCUGAACCAGGCCCCCAACAGAACUUCAACCAGGUUCACUGCAGGAUGAGAGCCUGGGUGGAGAUGACCAUAGACCUGCUGAAAGCCUGUUUCCAGUGUCUACAUCACCUCAGGGUGACUCCUGAGAGGCCUGUGAUAUUAUUGUGGCAUGUGUUGUUCUUCAUAAUAUUACCACUAUUAGAGGAGAGCAACACCCUGCCCUACAAACUGAAGACCCAGAUGAUGACCUCAUCCACCUGCAGCUAUCCAGGACAGCAGAGCAGUCAGAGACACCAUAUGCAAUAAUCACUGCAGAGUUUGUCUCCAUCAUCACCACAGC
ensembl:lncRNA